GGUCAAGUGACGAAGCGCAUACGGUGGAUGCCUAGGCGGUAGGAGGCGAUGAAGGACGUGGUAGCCUGCGAAAAGCCUCGGGGAGCUGGCAAACAAGCAUUGAUCCGGGGAUGUCCGAAUGGGGAAACCUACUUGUCAUCAAGGCAAGUAUCACACACUGAAUCCAUAGGUGUGUGAAGCUAACCCGGGGAACUGAAACAUCUAAGUACCCGGAGGAAAAGAAAUCAACCGAGAUUCCCUCAGUAGCGGCGAGCGAACCGGGAACAGCCCUUAAGUCCCGUCACUUUUAGUAGAACAGUCUGGAAAGUCUGGCCAUAGAAGGUGAUAGCCCUGUAUACGAAAAAAGUAGCGGGAUGAAAUCGAGUAGGGCGGGACACGAGAUAUCCUGUCUGAACAUGGGGGGACCAUCCUCCAAGGCUAAAUACUCCCUACCGACCGAUAGUGAACCAGUACCGUGAGGGAAAGGCGAAAAGAACCCCUUAUAGGGGAGUGAAAUAGAACCUGAAACCGUAUGCGUACAAGCAGUGGGAGUCCCGCACCUAAAUUGUUUUGGGUGUUGGCGCUUCAACUCUUCUCAAGAUCUGCCGAGACAAUGAGGCUAUGUAGUCUAUAAAGGGAAUUUAGGUGCGGGAUAAACCCCGCAAAGGCGGAUCGAAAUGUUUUAUGUUUAUGUGUUGCGUUCUACGGAACGUAGGCGAGCGUUUCUACCUUGGAAGUACAAUUGAUUUGAAGCAACGGCUUCAAUCACAUAACCGAGGCGAGAACAAGGCAACGAAAGGACACCAGUGGGAGCUGGUGUACUACGAAGCUUAUCUCACCCUUGCUGCCGCCAGGCAGCGAGAGCACAAGCUGAAACAGAACGGGAGAGCGAAGCGUUUUCUUAUGCAGCGAAUCAAGACUAGUCUGGAAUAAGAGCGUGGCUUGUCCCGCACUUGAAUUCCAUCGCAAGGCAGCGAAGCAGGAUAUUCUGCGGACUUGAAAAGAAGCUGUAGCCCCUAAAUUCAGAACAAUUUAGGUGCGGGAUGACUGCGUACCUUUUGUAUAAUGGGUCAGCGACUUACUUCUCAGUGGCAAGCUUAACCGACUAGGGGAGGCGUAGCGAAAGCGAGUCUUAAAUGGGCGCCACAGUCGCUGGGAGUAGACCCGAAACCGGGCGAUCUAUCCAUGGCCAGGGUGAAGAUGCAGUAACAUGCGUUGGAGGCCCGAACCGGGUAAUGUUGAAAAAUUAUCGGAUGAGCUGUGGAUAGGAGUGAAAGGCUAAUCAAGCCCGGAGAUAGCUGGUUCUCCCCGAAAGCUAUUUAGGUAGCGCCUCGUGUAUCACUCUCGGGGGUAGAGCACUGUUUCGGCUAGGGGGCCAUCCCGGCUUACCAAACCGAUGCAAACUCCGAAUACCGAGAAGUGCAAUCACGGGAGACACACGGCGGGUGCUAACGUUCGUCGUGGAAAGGGAAACAACCCAGACCGCCAGCUAAGGUCCCUAAAUCACAACUCAGUGGGAAACGAUGUGGGAAGGCAGAGACAGCCAGGAGGUUGGCUUAGAAGCAGCCAUCCUUUAAAGAAAGCGUAAUAGCUCACUGGUCGAGUCGGCCUGCGCGGAAGAUUCAACGGGGCUUAAGUUGUGUACCGAAGCUGCGGAUGCCCGAUCUUCGGAUCGGUGCAUGGUAGGGGAGCGUUCCGUACGCCUGCGAAGGUGGAUCGAGAGGUCUGCUGGAGGUAUCGGAAGUGCGAAUGCUGACAUGAGUAACGAUAAAGGGGGUGAGAGGCCCCCUCGCCGAAAGCCCAAGGUUUCCUGCGCAACGCUAAUCGGCGCAGGGUUAGUCGGCCCCUAAGGCGAGGCCGAAAGGCGUAGUCGAUGGGAAGCAGGUUAAUAUUCCUGCACCGCUCAUUACUGCGAUGGGGGGACGAAGAAGGCUAGAUCAGCCAGCAGUUGGUUGUCUGGUUCAAGCGUGUAGGGAGUCAUCUUAGGAAAAUCCGGGAUGGCAAUUCCGAGACGUGAUAACGAAUCUCUACGGAGAUGAAGUGAUUGAUGCCAUGCUUCCAGGAAAAGCCUCUAAGCUUCAGGUAAUGAGAGACCGUACUCCAAACCGACACAGGUGGGCAGGGUGAGAAUCCCAAGGCGCUUGAGAGAACUCUGGUGAAGGAACUAGGCAAAAUAGUACCGUAACUUCGGGAGAAGGUACGCCUCUGGUACGUGAAGGCCCUGCGGCCGGAGCGGAGAGAGGUUGCAAUAACCAGGUGGCUGCGACUGUUUACUAAAAACAUAGCACUCUGCAAACUCGAAAGAGGACGUAUAGGGUGUGACGCCUGCCCGGUGCCGGAAGGUUAAGUGAUGGGGUUAGCGCAAGCAAAGCUCUUGAUCGAAGCCCCGGUAAACGGCGGCCGUAACUAUAACGGUCCUAAGGUAGCGAAAUUCCUUGUCGGGUAAGUUCCGACCUGCACGAAUGGCGUAACGAUGGCCACGCUGUCUCCACCAGAGACUCAGUGAAAUUGAAAUCUCGGUCAAGAUGCCGAGUACCCGCGGCUAGACGGAAAGACCCCGUGAACCUUUACUACAGCUUCACACUGGACUUUGAACCUACUUGUGUAGGAUAGGUGGGAGGCUUUGAAGCGGUGACGCCAGUUGCCGUGGAGCCAUCCUUGAAAUACCACCCUGGUAUGUUCGGAGUUCUAACCUCGGUCCGUAAUCCGGAUCAGGGACAGUGUGUGGUGGGUAGUUUGACUGGGGCGGUCUCCUCCCAAAGUGUAACGGAGGAGCACGAAGGUACCCUCAGCGCGGUCGGAAAUCGCGCACUGAGUGCAAAGGCAAAAGGGUGCUUGACUGCGAGACAGACAAGUCGAGCAGGUGCGAAAGCAGGUCUUAGUGAUCCGGUGGUUCUGUAUGGAAGGGCCAUCGCUCAACGGAUAAAAGGUACUCCGGGGAUAACAGGCUGAUACCGCCCAAGAGUUCAUAUCGACGG
rnacentral:rRNA from 1 species